CGGGAUGUAGCUCAGCUUGGUAGAGCACCAUGUUCGGGACGUGGGGGUCGUGAGUUCAAAUCUCGUCAUCCCGA
rfam:Leuconostoc pseudomesenteroides PS12 contig_048, whole genome shotgun sequence.